CCCCCCGAUCUCAUCAUUAUAUUCUACCACUCUACUAUCACUCUCCCUCAACUAUCUCUGAAUCAUCAUAGAUUAGUGAAAAAAUUUGAUGUUUUGAUCAUGCUCCUUGAUCUACCAUAUCCUAAAUUUUUGCCUCCACAGUAUCUUCUAUUAUCUCAGUAAAGAGUGGUGCACCGAGAGCUUGUAACGAAGCUUCAUUAAGUCAAACUUCUGGAGGCCCUCCUCUUAAUCCUUUCUCAUCU
rnacentral:lncRNA from 1 species